rnacentral:tRNA from 1 species
GAGGCUGUAGCUCGGUGGUAGGGCAUGUGCUUAGCAUGCAUGAGAUCCUGGGUUCAAUCCCCAGCACCUCU